GUCGCCUUUGGAUGGUUCCAACUCCUAUCAGCUUGUUGGUGAGGUAUUUGCUCACCAAGGCUUUGACGGGUAGGGGGACUGAGAGGUUGGCCCCCCACACCGGGACUGAGAGCUGCCCGGACACCUACGGGUGGCUGCAGUCGAGAAUCUUCGGCAAUGCGCAACCGCGUGACCGAGCGACGCCGCGUGCGGGAUGAAGGGUUUCGGCUCGUAAACCGCUGUUGGGGGGUAGCAAUAAUCACGGUAACCCCGUGUGAUGAGUAAAACCCCUGAGGAAGUCACAGCUAAUCACGUGCCAGCAGCUGCGGUAAUACGUGAGUGGCAAACGUUACUCGGAAUCACUGGGCCUAAAGGGGGCGCAGGCGGGCAGGAAAGUGGAGAUUGAAAUCCCACGGCUCAACCGUGGAAUUGGUUUCCAAAACUAUCUGUCUUGAGGACAGCAGGGGGGUGUAGAACUUCUGGUGGAGCGGUGAAAUGCGUACAUCUCAGACGGAAUACCGGUGGCGAAAGCGAUGCCCUG
rnacentral:rRNA from 1 species